rfam:Myceliophthora thermophila ATCC 42464 chromosome 1, complete sequence.
GGUCCGCUGGCUCAAUGGCAGAGCGUCUGACUACGACUCCCGUUCUGAAAUAUUCAGAUCGGAUCGGGUAAUCAGGAGGUUCCAGGUUCGACCCCUGGGUGGAUCG